rnacentral:lncRNA from 1 species
CGUAUUGGGCUUAUAUGUUGGUUUUGGGUUUCGGGGCCCAAAAGCGUUUUGGUCCAAAAGGCCCAUUAUGUUCAAGUUGUAUGACAACUAAAACAAAAUGGGCAAAUAGCCCAAUAACACCAAGGAGGGCUGGGCAUUAGGGUGAAUGGGCAAAGUUUGCUUUAUUACAAGUUUGCCACUCACCAAAGAAAAGGUUAUAAAAGCAACUUUAUAGCUAUUUUCUAACUAGGGUUUUUCUUGUUGAAAUUGGGUGAAACAUUUUCUCCAUUUUCUUCUAAGGAGGCCGGCCACUAAGGGGAGGGACAUCUAGCUAUCUCUUCUUCCCUUAGUCAUCCAAUUCAUCUUCACAAGAUACAACCUUGGUGAAGAGACUUAGAGACAUCAAGCUUUUGGUGUUUUGGAGAACAAAUCCUUUUUCCUCAAAUCAUCAAAGGAGCACUAAAGGGAGGAAAACACAAGGAGGAUUCAAGGAGCUUGGAGGUGACUUGAAGGCCCUCCACUUAGGUGAAUCCCUUGUGUAAUCAAGGAUGAGCUUCAAGGGUAAAGAAUCACUAAAUUCUUCUUUCUCUUUAAUGUUGGUAAAGAGUUUAUUUUGGUUCACCAUAUACUAGGCUUUGAAAGUCAUGGCUUUUAUGAAUUGUUUUUUGAUGCAUGCCUACUUUAAAGUGUUAAUAGCUUGCAUGUGUAUUCAAAUGUUCAUACUUGUUCUUAGCUAGGACAAAAUUUUUCCUUCAGAUUGAGGGUCGACACUUAAUUAGCAUGUAUAUAUCUGAUGCUAGAGUAUAAGGGAGUUUCAAAUAAUCAUUACAAACUUAUAUUCAUAUGUAGUGAAGGUCACUAGUCAUGAUCGCGUUAAAUUUAAUUCCUAGCAUGAGUGACAUGAUGUCAUAGUUGCAAGUGCUUUGUCAAUGCUUAUGAUUUUCAUUGAACGUAAUGAUCUUUGAUUGUAUCUCUAUUAUGAUGUCAUGUAGGGAACUCUUGAAGAAUGCUUUGGGUUGUCGAAUGAUGUCAUCCAAUCCAAUAAUACAAGGAAAAUCUGAGGGUUAACUAGUGAUGUCACAGUUAAUUUGGGGCAUUGUCAUUCAUAAUUCAAUGAAGGAGUAACUGGAAAUUGAUUAAUUUGCAUACAUGUCAUGUGUGGAGAAGGAACCUCUAGCUAGCUUACCAUCCAUUUAAUUCAACCAAAUUCGUCCAAAAAUCUGUCUUAAGUUUUAGUUACUUGUUUUAUUUUAAUUUCGUUCAAAACGAACCCCUUCUUUACUUUCUUGUUUCAAAGUGUUUAAAAUCUAUUUUGUUUGUGUUUUUGAGUGUUUUGAGUCCAGCCAAAACCCUAAAUUCGUCCAAAGUUGUGUUUAGAGUUAGAAACUGCCUGGUUGGUGUUUUUAGGCAGUUUUGAGUGUUGUUAAGUUGUUUUGAGUCUUGUGAACCUGUUUUGAGUCCUUUGAGUCUAUUCAAACGUUUUUAACUUUGUUUUUAUGUUUUUGAGUCAGUUUAAAGGUUUUAGCAAGCCCUCCUAAUCCCCGGUUUAGAACGAUCCCUACUUGCAUUUAUACUACAAUUUGACAACAAGAGGGUUUAAUUUGAGUGCUUAUAUAUUUUCACAUCAGGCUUCAAUCUUGAGUGUUGUGUGUUCAAUAAUGUGGAGGUUGGGAUUGGUAUGAGCAUAUGGUAUCCCUGGUUCUCACGUCUAAGUAAUGGCAUUCCAGUCAUGAGAUCAUAUAUAUACAUGCAUUAAUAAUUCCAGAAAUUGCCUUCUUUGAUGAUAACAUAUGUGAGUGUUAGUUUUCAUGUUUACAUCAAUCUUUUCACAUAAAUCUAGCAUAGGGAGUGUAGUCAGAAAAUUUGUGUGAAAAUAGAGUGUAUAUCCGGUGAGGAAUUGAGGGAUUCUCUAAGGCAUGUUACUACAUUCAAAAUGUUGUUUUAAUUGAUUAAAUGUAAGCUAGUGAGUGGAGACUAUGAUUAAGUAUGUGCUCGAUGGUAAGGAUGGCUAAAAUCUGUGUAAGUAGUGAUAUUUAACAUGUCAUGUUGUAUUGGAAAUCCCUAGGCCAAUUGUAGGAAGGUUUAGGUUGUGUUUUGUUUUCUUUGUUCUGCUCGAGGACUAGCAAAAGCCAAGUGUGGGGGAAUUUGAUAGGAGCAUAUUUAUGCGACUUAGUUAGCUUGUAAUUAAUUGGUGAUGGAUGAUUUAUGUCUUUAUUGUUUGACAAAACAUUUUCUUACAACCUAUACCAAUCAACUUUUCCUCACCUACCUAUCCACUUGCACAAAACACUUUCAAAUUUUGAAUUUUUUCACCAAAACCUUUUCCCCCUCCUUUUUCACUACCAAAACCGGCCACCCCUUAAUGGGGGUACUUUUGGGGCCUUUUAUUCAAUUACAUGAAAUUUUGAUACUUUUGUGUAUUUGUACUUUGGCCCAAAAGUUUACGUUUUUUCGUUAAGGCCCAAAAACGCUAAAGGACAAAUUGUUUUGCUUCUUUAAUGAAGUUUUUGCUACUGUUGAAAAUUUUGGGUUCUAGUUUUAAUUACAUGAAGUUGUGGACUCUUGUGUUUUGACAAAGUGACCCCAAAAGUCUAUGUUUUAACCUUAUGGCCCAAUUGUUGUG